GGAGCAGUGGCAGAGCGGUUUAUCGCUGCCGCCUUGAAAGCGGCCGAACUUGAGAAGGUUCCGUGGGUUCGAAUCCCACCUGCUCCGCCA
rnacentral:tRNA from 1 species